AUUGAACGCUGGCGGCAUGACUUACACAUGCAAGUCGAACGGCAGCGCGGACAUCGGUCUGGCGGCGAGUGGCGAACGGGUGAGUAAUGCAUCGGCACGUACCUUUCAGUGGGGGAUAACGUAGCGAAAGUUACGCUAAUACCGCAUAUUCUGUGAGCAGGAAAGCAGGGGACCGCAUGUCCUUGCGCUGAUUGAGCGGCCGAUGUCAGAUUAGCGAGUUGGUGAGGUAAAGGCUGACCAAGGCGACGAUCAGGAGCGUGACUGCGAGGACGAGCCGCCACACUGGGACUGGGAGGCGGCCCAGACGCCUACGGGCGGCAGCAGUGGGGAAUUGUGGACAAUGUGGGCAACCCUGAGCAAGCAACGCCGCGUGAGUGAAGAAGGCCUUCGGGUUGUAAAGCUCUUUCGGCAGGGAAGAAAUCGCAUGGGUUAAUACCCGGUGUGGAUGACGGUACGGGAAUAAGAAGCGCCGGCUAACUACGUGGCAGCAGCCGCGGUAAGAC
rnacentral:rRNA from 1 species